AGCAUCCCUCUAGAGUUGACAUUGAUUGAUCAAGCAACAUACAAAACAGAAUGCAACGGUGAUACUAAAUCUUAAAAUAAAAAAAUCGCAUCCCUAUUGUGGUGCCUAGUGUCAAAAAUUUUGACGGACGACAUCUGAUAUGUCAAAUGUGUUCAAAUAUUUUAUAGCGCAGAAUUCGAUACAGUUUGUAAAGUGUUAAUUAUGUUUAUUUGUUGGAGAGUUUAAAAAAACGAGUUAGGGUGUGUUGGAGAGUACAAAAUGAAGGGUUCUGUGGUGCGUUCGGAAACCCGACCUCCUACAGCUCGUCGACAAUACAACACUACGAACACAAAAGCGCGCCAUUGUGACCCACGUGUCAAGUUGUGAGGACUUAAUUAAAUCUGUUACGAUUUUUAUUAAGCAGAUGACGCUCGUGUCUCCUGAGGAAUAUUGUAUUUUGAUUGAUUCUCAAUAAAAAUUAUGUUCCCGUGUGAAGCUUUGUAAAAAUACAUAUGAGGGCGCCGGGUGGCGGCGGCUUCCGGCACUCGUCGCGCUUCCGCUUUCGAGUGGCAAUCCAACAUGGCGACAAUAUUAAUCAAUAUUUCAACAACAUUAGCUACUGGCACGAGAGCGCGCCUUCUUAAGAUGAAACGGCUACUUUGCUGACGCUGUUUCGAGAUGAGCGCCAAGAACAAGAAACACGUAAAGCUAUUUCGUAAAUUUUCUGUGAUUACAACAUUUUUAAUACUUUAAACCUUAAUCAAAAUAA